rnacentral:rRNA from 1 species
AACGCUAGCUACAGGCUUAACACAUGCAAGUCGAGGGGAAACGAUAUUGGAAGCUUGCUUCCGAUAGGCGUCGACCGGCGCACGGGUGAGUAACGCGUAUCCAACCUGCCCACCACUUGGGGAUAACCUUGCGAAAGUAAGACUAAUACCCAAUGACGUCUCUAGAAGACAUCUGAAAGGGAUUAAAGAUUUAUCGGUGAUGGAUGGGGAUGCGUCUGAUUAGCUUGUUGGCGGGGUAACGGCCCACCAAGGCGACGAUCAGUAGGGGUUCUGAGAGGAAGGUCCCCCACAUUGGAACUGAGACACGGUCCAAACUCCUACGGGAGGCAGCAGUGAGGAAUAUUGGUCAAUGGGCGAGAGCCUGAACCAGCCAAGUAGCGUGCAGGAAGACGGCCCUAUGGGUUGUAAACUGCUUUUAUAAGGGAAUAAAGUGAGUCUCGUGAGACUUUUUGCAUGUACCUUAUGAAUAAGGACCGGCUAAUUCCGUGCCAGCAGCCGCGGUAAUACGGAAGGUCCGGGCGUUAUCCGGAUUUAUUGGGUUUAAAGGGAGCGUAGGCCGGAGAUUAAGCGUGUUGUGAAAUGUAGACGCUCAACGUCUGCACUGCAGCGCGAACUGGUUUCCUUGAGUACGCACAAAGUGGGCGGAAUUCGUGGUGUAGCGGUGAAAUGCUUAGAUAUCACGAAGAACUCCGAUUG